rnacentral:rRNA from 1 species
ACGGGAGGCAGCAGUGGGGGAUAUUGCACAAUGGGGGAAACCCUGAUGCAGCGACGCCGCGUGAGUGAUGAAGUAUUUCGGUAUGUAAAGCUCUAUCAGCAGGGAAGGUAAUGACGGUACCUGACUAAGAAGCACCGGCUAAAUACGUGCCAGCAGCCGCGGUAAUACGUAUGGUGCAAGCGUUAUCCGGAUUUACUGGGUGUAAAGGGAGCGUAGACGGCAAGGCAAGCCAGAUGUGAAAGGCUGGGACUCAACCCCGGGACUGCAUUUGGAACUGUCUAGCUAGAGUAUCGGAGAGGUAAGUGGAAUUCCUAGUGUAGCGGUGAAAUGCGUAGAUAUUAGGAGGAACACCAGUGGCGAAGGCGGCUUACUGGACGAUAACUGACGUUGAGGCUCGAAAGCGUGGGGAGCAAACAGGAUUAGAUACCCUGGUA